rnacentral:lncRNA from 1 species
UAUGAUACACUAUUAUUCUUCUCUUUCCCUCACUCCAAUUAUAUUUCCCUCCUUAUUUUUGUCUUCCCAAAUUUUCAGUUCCCCGCCGGUCAAAAAUCUGAUGACCAUCCCGAAAGGUGUUGAUAGUCAAAAAUAACAUGCCGUCGCGGGCUACACCUCAAUCGUCUAUUUCAAAUCCAAUCCCUAAAACUUAAAACCCCAAUUUCCAUCUCUAAUCCAAGACCUAAACUCAAAUCCCCAAAUAUUUUAUCCCCAAUUUCAGUAACUUAGUUGAUUCAGUUCUCUGUGAAGAGUCGAGAGAUUUAUAAGAUAAAAGAAGGAAGGAAGGUGCUUUUGAUUAUUGGGACGUUGCAGAUCCACAGAGAGAGAGAGAGAGAUAGAGCAAGGGUGGAGACGACCUGAAACGAGCUACCGGAGCAAUUACAAUUCGGAACCAUCGCUUAGGUAAGUGUUAAGAUUAAAUUUCUGCAAAUUUUUUGUUUAUGUUUGGUGACUUUUGGUUUAGCUGGACUGGUAUGAGUAUUAGCCUACUUGGGAUCAUCCCUUUUAAAGUAAACCUAGUCAUGAACCAAAAAAAUGGUUAGGUUGUCUACAAAUUGUUUUUGGUAAAAAUUGUACCUUUUUUUUGUAUGAACUAUUGUACUUGUUUUUGUUAAUAUAUUUUCGAGAGAACGUGAAAUUUUAUGAACAAGGAAAUUACAUCAAUGCAUGAAAGUUCAGAAAAAUGGUUAACUCUAAGUAGCAAUAAUGUAGUAAUAAUAUUCAUUUAUGGCUUUUUUCUUGUUGCAAUAAGUUGUUAAUAUAUUUUGCUUUUUUUUCUUUUCUUUUUGUUAUUGAAUGUUGAUAUUCUACUAUUGUCACCGCUGCCAAUUUAUCAGUCUUAAGAUUUUCAUUACAGGGUAGUAUAAGUGGUGACUGCUAAGUACAAAAUAUAAAGUCAUUGAAUUUAGAAAUAGACCUUAAUGAAAUAGAGGGAGUACAGGUUUGUUGAUGUUUUAUUCUAAGUAAAAUUAAAAAUAGAAAGAAGAUAUAGUCAAGUAAAGAUGACUAAAUAAGAAAGAUAAAGGGUCACAAGCAUCAGUUUCUUUUGAGGUAAUGAGUGAAGAAUCUGAAGCAGCGUGCUGCUUUGAAUAAUGAUUAUGUUUAAGUAUAUAUUAUUUUGGAAUAUCUAUGAGACUAUGAAAGGUGAACUUCAGGGAUUUGAACAAUGAAAAGUUUAAAAUACAGAAAAGUGACAGAUAGAUAAGUUGAGUGUAUACAUGUUAAUGGCUCCGAUUCACCCAAAAAAAUAAAGAAAAAUAAUUCACAUUUGUCAAUAUCUUUUAUUCCACAAAAUGAGUUCAUUUUUUAGUGUGUUGAUGCAACUGAUUUUUCUGGUCCAAAUAUAGAAAUGAUAUGCAUGUAUUUCAGUAUUUAACAGCUACAGUUUGAUACAUGAUGGAGAAUAGCCUUUAAUUUGCAUGAUGAAGAGGUGGGAAUAUAUGUAGAUUUUGUGGCAGCAUUCGUUCCAUAAUCUAAGGUUUGUAGCUAUUGCUUUGGGUUUGAAAGGAAAAUGGAAAGAAAGAAGAAAAGGGAUAAAUGUGUUUUUAUGUGGAUCACUUGUUAGAGUUUCCUGCUAUUAGUUUGAUGAUCACAAGUUGUCCCUUUUCAGUUUUGGGACACUUGUUUGUUAAACAAAUUGGGUCAGCAAUGUUUGAAUUUAAUUCAUGUAUCAAAUUCUGAUCUCUUAAAAGUUAUAUUGAGAACUUGGGAAUUUGAAGCACUUAAAAAAUUGUGAAGAAGUCUGAAAAUAAUGUUUUAAAAUUUACUUUUAUUUUUUAUCUCUUUCUGUAG